ACAGCCGGGUAAGGUGAUUGGCUGUUUAGUCAGAGCCAGGGAGGUGAUUGGCUGUUUAGUCAGAGCCAGGUAAGGUGUUUGGCUGUUUAGUCAGAGCCAGGGAGGUGAUUGGCUGUUUAGUCAGAGCCAGGGAGGUGAUUGGCUGUUUAGUCAGAGCCAGGGAAGGUGAUUGGCUGUUUAAUGGAGUUGAUUGGCUGUUUGACUGUUUCCUUCCUGUUUCUCAGAAUUAGACCUGGAGGCCAUUCUGGAACAUUUGGAUCUUCAUUUGGAGUUCAAUGACUCGUUGUUUGACCUGGACUGUGAUGUGGACAUACAGAGUGGUAAGGAGUUU